AUGCAGUUUAGUUACCAUUGGAGUAGCACUGAACUGAUUAAGUCUUGUAUAUUAGUACUAUAUAGAUUCUUAACCUGUGGAAUUUUUGCUAGUAGUCAAUUGAUAUUGUUUCUAGGAAUUUCUCUUUGCUUCUGCUCACUUUCAAAUAUUUAUUAUGGAAUAACUGAGGUGAAUUUUAACCAUUUGCUAAGCAGCGGUAGCAACAUAUUUGAUGAGCCAUUUAUCCUCGCAACUCAAGCUACCCAAGUCUAUUAUGUACAAGAUUCUAUAGAGAAGGAUUGGUACGUUGUGGUUCAUCCACCUGCAAGAGACUUCUUUGAUAUGGACGCUAGAAUUGAUGGGCAUGAUGAUGUCCACCUGCAAGAGACUUCUUUGAUAUGGAUCAGGAAAAAAUGA
rnacentral:rRNA from 1 species